rnacentral:snoRNA from 1 species
AUGCCAUGGUGUGGACACUUCCUUAACAACUCCUUGAACCGCAUGAAAGCUUCAUGAAAUUUCUCCCCUGAAUGCUGUUGGAAGGCUCUUAUUGCUUCCCGAGCUU